rnacentral:lncRNA from 10 species
GACCUGGGAAAACAUCUAGGUCUCAGGUUUCCAAACUUGUUGGAGGAGCCCACGGAUUUAAAGAAGAUAAGAAAAUUGAGACUCAGAGGAUAAUACGGAAGAGCAAUACCCAUCUAACCCUACUGUGUGCUCAGAGAACUCACACCGUAUUGGGACAGAGAUACAAGAAUCAACACCACAGUGUGUAGACUCACACAUUAUACCUUAUAAUGGACACUGAUGGGAAAAAUAAGACAAUUUAUCAUCUUGCAAGAAUGCCAUUUUCACUUGAAAGAAACAAAGGACAAACUAUGGUCACUGAGAUUGGUUAUCUGGAAGUUUUUUGAACAUGAAUGAAGGGAGCCUGUCACUUCAACAAAAACAACUGACAUCACUUGUUGCCAAUGACAAAACUUGAGCUCUCAGGCGAAACUAAGAAAUUUGGAAAUAUGACAGUUUCUCAGGAGUUAAGGCCUUUCCAAUGAGACUGAUGAUGAUGUUAACAAAUGUAUUGUUCUUAUCAUUAUAUAAUGAAAUUGUCAAUAUUUAAAAGAUCUGCAUUACUUGGGAAACCAAUAUUUUCCAAAUGACCAACUCCUGAUAUUACAGCAUCAUACAAUGGUAAAAUGUCCUGUUAAAGUGCAAGACAGACUAGAAACAGUACUAAAGGUUCUUUUUUAUGCUUUCAGAUUCUAUAUUGCAGCUACUUUUUUAAAAAACUACCACUAGUUUUUAGUACAGUAUCAAAAAGGAGUAUCCACAAUUACUUGAAAAAAGCUAUUAAAAUGCUCCCCCCUUUUGCAAUUACAUAUCUGAGUGAGGCCAGAUUUUCUUCAUAUAUUUCAACUAAAACAACCCAGGGGCAUAGACUGAAUGCAGAGGUAGGUGUUGGAAUUCAGUUAUCUUCUAUAAGCCAGACAUUACAGAAGUUGGUAAAAAUCUAAGACAAUGAUACUCGUUUCUUUUAAUUUUAAAAAAAUUAUUUUCAUAAAAUAUGUAAUAUGUAAUGAAAUUAUUAUUCUUAAAUGAAUUAACGAUUAAAAUUUUAUUUUAAUUUCAAUGUUGUAUAUUUUGAUAGUUAACUGACAUAAAUA